CCGUACUUCUUGUAUGUUCGCAUAGUGUGCGCGAGCCAUUUGGCCGAAUUUUACGACGUAUGGAAUGUAAAGAAGUAUGGAG